rnacentral:rRNA from 1 species
AUGCACCGAAGCUGCGGCAGCGACGCUUAUGCGUUGUUGGGUAGGGGAGCGUUCUGUAAGCCUGUGAAGGUGUGCUGUGAGGCAUGCUGGAGGUAUCAGAAGUGCGAAUGCUGACAUAAGUAACGAUAAAGCGGGUGAAAAGCCCGCUCGCCGGAAGACCAAGGGUUCCUGUCCAACGUUAAUCGGGGCAGGGUGAGUCGACCCCUAAGGCGAGGCCGAAAGGCGUAGUCGAUGGGAAACAGGUUAAUAUUCCUGUACUUGGUGUUACUGCGAAGGGGGGACGGAGAAGGCUAUGUUGGCCGGGCGACGGUUGUCCCGGUUUAAGCGUGUAGGCUGGUUUUCCAGGCAAAUCCGGAAAAUCAAGGCUGAGGCGUGAUGACGAGGCACUACGGUGCUGAAGCAACAAAUGCCCUGCUUCCAGGAAAAGCCUCUAAGCAUCAGGUAACAUCAAAUCGUACCCCAAACCGACACAGGUGGUCAGGUAGAGAAUACCAAGGCGCUUGAGAGAACUCGGGUGAAGGAACUAGGCAAAAUGGUGCCGUAACUUCGGGAGAAGGCACGCUGAUAUGUAGGUGAAGCGACUUGCUCGUGGAGCUGAAAUCAGUCGAAGAUACCAGCUGGCUGCAACUGUUUAUUAAAAACACAGCACUGUGCAAACACGAAAGUGGACGUAUACGGUGUGACGCCUGCCCGGUGCCGGAAGGUUAAUUGAUGGGGUCAGCGCAAGCGAAGCUCUUGAUCGAAGCCCCGGUAAACGGCGGCCGUAACUAUAACGGUCCUAAGGUAGCGAAAUUCCUUGUCGGGUAAGUUCCGACCUGCACGAAUGGCGUAAUGAUGGCCAGGCUGUCUCCACCCGAGACUCAGUGAAAUUGAACUCGCUGUGAAGAUGCAGUGUACCCGCGGCAAGACGGAAAGACCCCGUGAACCUUUACUAUAGCUUGACACUGAACAUUGAGCCUUGAUGUGUAGGAUAGGUGGGAGGCUUAGAAGUGUGGACGCCAGUCUGCAUGGAGCCGACCUUGAAAUACCACCCUUUAAUGUUUGAUGUUCUAACGUUGACCCGUAAUCCGGGUUGCGGACAGUGUCUGGUGGGUAGUUUGACUGGGGCGGUCUCCUCCUAAAGAGUAACGGAGGAGCACGAAGGUUGGCUAAUCCUGGUCGGACAUCAGGAGGUUAGUGCAAUGGCAUAAGCCAGCUUGACUGCGAGCGUGACGGCGCGAGCAGGUGCGAAAGCAGGUCAUAGUGAUCCGGUGGUUCUGAAUGGAAGGGCCAUCGCUCAACGGAUAAAAGGUACUCCGGGGAUAACAGGCUGAUACCGCCCAAGAGUUCAUAUCGACGGCGGUGUUUGGCACCUCGAUGUCGGCUCAUCACAUCCUGGGGCUGAAGUAGGUCCCAAGGGUAUGGCUGUUCGCCAUUUAAAGUGGUACGCGAGCUGGGUUUAGAACGUCGUGAGACAGUUCGGUCCCUAUCUGCCGUGGGCGCUGGAGAACUGAGGGGGGCUGCUCCUAGUACGAGAGGACCGGAGUGGACGCAUCACUGGUGUUCGGGUUGUCAUGCCAAUGGCACUGCCCGGUAGCUAAAUGCGGAAGAGAUAAGUGCUGAAAGCAUCUAAGCACGAAACUUGCC